rnacentral:rRNA from 1 species
AUUGAACGCUGGCGGCAGGCCUAACACAUGCAAGUCGAACGGAGUGGCGGACGGGUGAGUAAUGCCUAGGAAUCUGCCUGGUAGUGGGGGAUAACGUACGGAAACGGGCGCUAAUACCACAUCCUAUCAGAUGAGCCUAGGUCGGAUUAGCUAGUUGGUGGGGUAAAGGCCUACCAAGGCGACGAUCCGUAACUGGUCUGAGAGGAUGAUCAGUCACACGGGACCUGAGACACGGUCCAGACUCCUACGGUAGGCAGCAGUGGAGAAUAUUGGACGAUGGGCGAGAGCCUAAUCCAGCCAUGCCGCGUGUGUGGAGAAGGUCUUCGGAUUGUAAAGCACUUUAAGUUGGGAGGCGUUACCAACAGAAUAAGCACCGGCUAACUUCGUGCCAGCAGCCGCGGUAAUUC